CCUACGGGCGGCAGCAGUGGGGAAUAUUGCACAAUGGGGGAAACCCUGAUGCAGCAACGCCGCGUGAAGGAAGACGGUUUUCGGAUUGUAAAGUUCUGUUAUUAGUGAAGAAAAAUGACGGGAGAUAAGGAGCAAGCCACGGCUAACUACGUGCCAGCAGCCGCGGUAAUCCGUAGGUGGCAAGCGUUCUCCGGAAUUACUGGGUGUAAAGGGAGCGCAGGCGGGAAGACAAGUCAGCUGUGAAAACUACGGGCUUAACCUGUAGACUGCAGUUGAAACUGGGUUUCUUGAGUACAGUAGAGGUAAGCGGAAUUCCGAGUGUAGCGGUGAAAUGCGUAGAUAUUCGGAGGAACACCGGUGGCGAAGGCGGCUUACUGGGCUUUAACUGACGCUGAGGCUCGAAAGUGUGGGGAGCAAACAGGAUUAGAUACCCCAGUAGUC
rnacentral:rRNA from 1 species